AUGCUAGAUUCCUGGAUGUGCAUUGAGCAGAUCCUUCGUAGUGUCUCUUAUAAUGGGGAUGAUGAUGCGCUCAUUUGGCAAUAUGACUCUAAGGGAGUGUAUACUACUACCUCCUUGUACAGCAUCAUUAACUUCAGGAGGGUCCAGCCCAUUUACAUACCUUCUGUCUGGUCCAUUGUGUUCCCACCCAGAGUGCAAAUUUUUCUCUUGCUACUGGCUCACCACAAAUUAAUGACCAGAGAUAAUUUGGAUAAGAGAAACAUGGGGAAACCUUUGAUCUGUGAGUUUUGCACUGACAAUGAGAGCAUUGACCACCUCUUUUUUGGGUGUGCUGUAGCUAAAAGCAUCUGGAAAGAUGAGUCUGCUUUCUUUAAAAUUCCUGUAGGGCAAGACUACCUUUCUGUAGCAAGAUUUUGGCCUGCUAGCAAGAAACAAUGUGCUUUGAAUUCCAUCUGCGCUUGUAUAUUGUGGGGCAUUUGGAAAACUAGAAAUGCACAUGUGUUUAAAAAUGCUGUCUGGUCUGAUAUUAAGCAGGUUUGGAGACGUAUCCUCGUGAUGAUCAAGAAAUGGAUGAUCAUGUUCAAAAAGGAUUACCUCCCCCAGAUCGAGGCAUUCGUCCAGUGGGUCUCGGAGAAGCUCAAGAACCCCUUCCAGCUAUCGAUGGGGUGA
rnacentral:rRNA from 1 species